AUCUCACCGCGCCUGACCUAUCCUCCUCUGAGUCCAGAUAUUCCGGUUCGGUUUCUUCUUUACCCUUUCUCGACCGAGCGUUUCAGGGGCGGCGGCGGCGGCGCUGCUAGUCGGGAGCACCGGAGCGGUGCCGGUGCUACGGGUUGGGCGCGGCACUGGCGGGUCGCGAGCGGCACAGAUGGGCCGCAAGUCCCCCCUCUCUCCUAGCCUCCCACCGUCCCACGCACGUGCACUGCCGAGCGGCGGCGGCAGCUGCAAUUCGCGGGCGGCAGCGGAGCACGGAGCUCUCGAGACGUUGUCGGCAGGGUGCUGCGGCCUCACGACGGGCGGCUCUGCACAGCGUAGGUGCGAGACGGACCCUGGGUGGAAGAGCUCCCUCCCCCUGAGCCUAUGCGUGGGCACUCUGGUGAGCUAGAACAAACUACAAAAUUCCCUUCAAGGUAGAAUCCGCGAGCUCCAUGCACUAGCGUUCUGAUUUUUGUGGAUUCUCUGCAGAAAUUUUGUGAUUCAAUUGCUGGAAUCUAUACAGCGGCUCAUCCCCUGAUUUCCCCAGUUUGAAUAGAUUAGCCAUUUUCUCGUAGCAUUUGGUGGUGUGCAGUGAAUUUUUUGUAUCACCUAAUCAUUUUUUUCUGUUUUCCGCGACUGAACGAGGCUUAGCAAACAUUCGGUUGUUUCGCUAAUUGGCAUGCAGGAUUUUUAUGACAGUGAGGGGCAUCUUCAGUCUUGCUACUUCAUCUUAGUGAUUAGCAAUCACACAAUACAGGGAAAUUCUCUUCCUUUGCUUGCUCUGUUGUUACCAGACUACUAGCGUCUCCAUUGAAGCUAAGAUCCAUUAUCAUCUAGGCUACUGAAAAAAAUUGAGAUAUCGAUGGUCCUGAAAAAACAUAAAUUACUGAACAUCAUUUUGAGGCUUCUGUAGUUUCACCAUUCAUUACUGAGCCUCAUUUUAAUUUCACUGUUCAUUACCGAAUGUCAUUUUCAGGCUUCAGUAAUUUUAGCAUUCAUUUUUAGGCUUCACGUGUACCCAAGCAAAAUAGGUCAGUAUUAUAAUGUUCGACAAUAUUUUGGUCCUAGAUAAUUUCAGAGUAAUUUAAGCUUGGGUAAUCAAGUAAGCCAGCAGUACAGCAUUCAGUAAUUUUAGGUCUUUGGUAAUUUUGGAUUCUGUAAUUUAAGCUUUUGUAAUCAAGUAGGCCAAUAAUAUAGUGUUUAGUAAUUUUUGGCCUUUUGGUAAUUUCAGGUUCAGUAAUUUAUGCAGUAAUAAUAAUGUUCAGUAAUGCUCAAUAAUGUUUUAAACAACAUCUAGCUUCAAUAUUUUUUGUUGUUCAUCAGUAAUUUGUUUAUUUAUUCAUUGAUCUGGAGGAGGUUGGAGCUUGAUGCCAUCUGCUCUAUGUUCAGAAUCACAUGAAGAUGCAGUUAUCUGCCUAUAGGACUGCUUUCUGUCAAUAAAAAGCUUGGAGGAGUUGAAGCAUCUGCAAGCCUAGAGAUCAGAGAUCCAGUUUUACUGAAUAUCUUUGUAUUUUGUUAAAAGAGAUUUAAACUGUUGUAACUGAUAUGGAGAUAUAUCAAUUUAACUUCUUCUCUCAGUAAUUUGGAUUAUUAUGCCUUUUAGCAA